rnacentral:tRNA from 1 species
GACCCCGUAGCUCAGCUGGAUAGAGCAGCAGCCUUCUAAGCUGCGGGUCGCAGGUUCGAAUCCUGCCGGGGUCGCCA